CUACUGUGAUGAGUCCCAAACAGGACGAAAUGGUUGUCCAGUAC
rnacentral:hammerhead_ribozyme from 1 species